rnacentral:ribozyme from 1 species
AUACGGAUUUAAUUGGAUUGAGCCUUGGUAUGGAAACUUACUAAGUGAUAACUUUCAAAUUCAGAGAAACCCUGGAAUUAAAAAAAAUGGGCAAUCCUGAGCCAAAUCCUAUUUUCCGAAAACAAACAAAAGUUCAGAAAAAAAAAAAAAACAUAAUGCUCCUUAAGCUAUAU